UAUUAAACGAGUCCGAAUUCGGAGCUCAUUGGUUCGUUUACAGUAAUUUAUCUCUCUUCUCUCUCUCCUCACUUCCAGAAACAGAGGACCACGAAAUUCCCGGUUCUCUUUGAUUCAAUGACUUCUGAUUAUGCGGUUAAACUUGCAGCGGAGCUUGAAUCAGCUUCGCGUUUGAGAGCUGCUCAAUUCCUGGUGACGCAAAGGCCGUGGCUUGAUCUUUAUGGGGUUAAUGUCAGACCUGUUACUCCUUUCCGUAGCUUGAGCAAACCGUUUGUUGAUACAUCACUUCUACACCGCAGCUUACCGGAUGAGUUGCUUUUUGAGGUAUAACUCUGCUGUGAA